CCGCCCACUGUGCACGGUUGCCAAGGCCACGGCGGGCCGCACAGUGGCUGUUUGGUUUGGUGAGGCCCUCGCCUCGCGCCUCUGCUUCGACGACAGGGCCUUGUAGGUAAGCUUGACAGACUAGGAGAGAAAAAUGAGAACGACCACGCAGUCCAGAGAACCCACCUAAAACAACCUCUGUAAGCGGCCCUCUUGGGGGGAAAUAGCCUGGAAGUUUCAGGCGACUCAGGGAAAAGAAUCAUGAAAUGCUGAGGGUAAAGCAAGCAUGGUUUCAGAUUGUGUUUAAGAGGAAAGAAAGCAAGCCUGAAGCAAUCAAGACACAGAACCAGACCAGAUACAUAGCUCCAAAUACUUUAAGGCACUGAGGUUUUUUUUAUUUUUCACAGUUGUGUAAAUCAUUAUCAAUGUAAUGGUCUGUACAUCCUUGAAUUAAUCUAAGAUUAUUUAGAAGAGAUUAUUAGAUGCAGCGUUGCCCGGUCAAAGGUAUGAAUUUGAUGCAUGUGGUCAAAGUGCUUUCUGACAGUUUACAGCAUUUCCUAUGUAUUGACAGCAUACUCGAGUGCUUGUUUCCCAGUAUUCUUGAUAUCAUGGGUUAGCUAAUAACAAAAAUCUUGACUUUGUUGAUUUUACAUGAGAAUAUGCAUUCCAUUAUCAUGUUAUAUGGCAAUGCUGUAAUUACUAACAGGUAUUUUUCACACAUUCAUUGACCAUUUGAAUUUCUUCUUUUGUGAAUUGCCAGUUUGAUGGCCUGUAUCCAAUUUCUAUUAGUCUUUUUGGGAUUUUCCUUACUGUUUUGUAAGAAUUCUUUAUACACAAAGAGUAGUACAUUUUUAUCUGCCAUAAUUUGCAAUUUUUGUUUUUCUUUUUUUUUUAUGAUGGCUUCUCAUAUAUUUAGAAGCUUUAAGUGUUAAGUGAACUGAAUAAUUUCUGAUACUCUUUGAAAUUAUUCAUGGCAUGCAUUCCUGAUGAUGCUGGG